rnacentral:rRNA from 1 species
GCAGCAGCCGCGGUAAAACGUAGGUCCCGAGCGUUGUCCGGAUUUAUUGGGCGUAAAGCGAGCGCAGGCGGUUUGAUAAGUCUGAAGUUAAAGGCUGUGGCUCAACCAUAGUUCGCUUUGGAAACUGUCAAACUUGAGUGCAGAAGGGGAGAGUGGAAUUCCAUGUGUAGCGGUGAAAUGCGUAGAUAUAUGGAGGAACACCGGUGGCGAAAGCGGCUCUCUGGUCUGUAACUGACGCUGAGGCUCGAAAGCGUGGGGAGCGAACAGGAUUAGAUACCCGCGUAGUCCCUGUCUCUUAUACA